UGGAGCCUUCUUCAGGUGUGAGCCUUCUUCAGACUUUAUUAAUUACCAACAUUAUUGUAACUACUGUACACCAUGUGCUGAAAUAAUGCUGUUUUGAUUGUGUCUUUUAGGGCUAUCAUUUCUUUUUUGUACCAAGGACUGUGUACCAGACUUUUAUUUUUGCUCGCCAGAUGUGUCAAUAGAUUUGAAGCGGAUUGUGAUCCAGAUUAUAACAACUUGUAAAGGUGUCGAUAGUCCCCAUGUGAAACCAGUUCUCUGUGAAUAUGAAGACCAUCUCUGACUACCUUCAAGUGCGUCCCUAAAACUGAGAUUUUGUGAUCUUUUCGUCUUAAAUCAGAAGGCCUGCACUACUUCAAAUGGAUAACAAACUACAGACAAUUUACAAGACUUGUUUUUUUAACUCUCUUCUCUAUAUCAGGCAGGGUCCAUGAGUGUACAUCCUUCAACUCAUUUACUAUACUGUAGCUUGCAUUUGUUCUUCUUUCUACUUGUACUGCAAUCGGUUUAUACAGCACAGUACUUCAAAGAACUCUGUCAUUGAGCUGUCUCAUUUCUUUUUUUACUUAUCAGCAAAUAUGUUCUUGAAUGUGAAUUGCCUAGGAUCAUCCAAGCAAUCAGAAAGUAAAUAAUAAAUGCAAAUAAAAGUCAGAAUUCUAACACUGCAAAAAAGCACGUGAUCAACAUAUUGUCUCAGAUCAAAUAACUAUGGGUUUCACAGAGUCUUGGCUUAUGGUAUGUUUUUUGGGGGUUUGGUUUAGAGUAUAUUAUACUUUGUACAAAACGUAAUACAACCAUGAGAUACAGUAUGUCAACAGUACUCUGUGUAGAAAAUGAAUUAUUAUGUUUCCAAUGGAGGUCCAAUGCUUGUAAUACCGGUGCUGUUUACGACUGCAAUCACAUUUUCUGAUGAGCUAACCCUGCUGGCUCUUGUGUCCUGGGAUCACUUCUAGACUGGGUGUUCUUUUUCUGUAUGUAGUUUGCAUGUUCUCCUCGUGUUCAUGUGACCUUUCUCUGGAUAAUAUCCCAUUACCUCUACUGUAUACAGUAUGUCCAGGUCUCAAGCCUUCAAUUACAAGUACCCCUUUUUUACCAUAAACAUCUAAAUGCU